UACGUAGGUUGCAAGCGUUAUCCGGAGUUACUGGGCGUAAAGCGUCUGUAGCCGGACAAGUAAGUCCGUUUUCAAAUACUCUGACUCACUCAGAGAAAGGGAAUGGAUACUGCUUAUCUAGAGAAUUCUGGGGGUAAAUGGAAUUUCCGGUGGAGCGGUGAAAUGCGUUGAUAUCGGAAGGAACGCCAAAAGCGAAAGCAGUUUACUAUAGAAUUUCUGACGGUGAGAGACGAAAGCUUGGGGAGCAAAUGGG
rnacentral:rRNA from 1 species